GGGUGAUUAGCUCAGUUGGGAGAGCAUCGCCCUUACAAGGCGAGGGUCACUGGUUCGAGCCCAGUAUUACCCACCA
rnacentral:tRNA from 1 species